AUAUAUGAAUAUUUUAUGUGUGUUAGCAUUUGAAUAAUGUUCUCAAUAAAAAGUACCAUGAAUUAAACUUUUUUCAUAAAAAAGUUCAGUUUAUAUUAUUACUCUAUAUUUUCUCUUGCCAUAGGAGUUUAUUGAAAAAUUUAUGGAUGGACACUUCAGGAGUACUGUUCCAAGGCUAGGUAAUUGAUAUGUGUGUUGUGGUUUGAAUUUUCAGGAACUACUAUAGGUGCACUCACAGAGAUCAGGGUUGCUCAGCAAAAAAGCAGGUGCAAAGAGUUGAGGAGGAUCCAAUCCUGUACAAGACCAUCUACCAUGGUGACCACACCUGCAAGAGCUUGGAAAACCCUCAGAUUAUACUUGACCCUGUGUCUCCUUCAUCUUCUUCCAUGUUCCUUAGCUUUAACAGCUUGGAAAACCCUGUGUUUAACAGCUCUUUUCCUACUCCAUCCAAACAAGAGUGCCCCUUUCUCUCAUCUUCUUUCACUUCAUCUGUCAAAAGGGAGUGCAAGGAGGAGGUUAUUCCUCCCUCAACUUCCUCCAAUGAUUACCUCAUCUCUUCUGACCUCACCUUUGAUGAUUCACCCAGGCAUGUCACUCUAUCAUCAUCAACACUUGACUCAGAGUACAAGGGUGUGGACAUUUCAGAUGUCCUCUAUGAUUCUGCACAACUUGAUCAUGUCUUUGAACCCUUCCUUCAAUUUAGAUAAGACUCAUCAUGUUUUGGUUUUUCCACUUCUUUUAUAAGUUUUAUUUCAGUGAAGGUAAUGCAAAACAAACCGUGUAAUAUAUAUAGUACUUUUCUUAGAAAAUGGUAACACCCAUCUCUUAUUGUCAAUAGUGACAUUUCCAAUGAAUGAGAGAUAACAACAAUGUUUUGAAUUAGUGGGAAUGAACCACCUAGUCAAAUCUUAUUUUCCAUGUAAGAAAAUUUGUUUAUGAAUAAUAGGGCCUGUGUUUUUAUAAAUUUGUGUAACUCAAACUUUCAUUUGUUUUCUCUAGUAAAUGAAAAGUAUAUAACCAUGUUGUGAGAUGAAAGCAACAUGCAGAAAAGUUGUGUUGAGCUCAAAGCAAUGAAUAGAUGGUUGGGGUCACUUUGGAAAGGUUAAGGGUAGAUUCAAUGCAUGUGUGGUUUUGGGUUAGGGUAUAUAUAAAUCCAAGCAUAAAAGGUGAUAGCUAUGGCAUGUUUUUAUUAUUAUUAAGAAUUUGAUAUCCAAUUUACAGGGAGCAAAACUGAGAGUGGGGUCAUGGCUGAGCAAAACUCACUCCCAUCCACUACUUUAUCAAACCAUGCUUAUCAUCGGAAUUGGCUUUGUUGUACAAAAUUACGUCCUCUUGUUAUUCAACAAAGAGAUUUUUGAUAAAAAUAAAACAAAAUUAAAUUUAUCUUCAUUUAAAUAAGAUUCUUUAAAUCUGUGGCUAAAAACUGAAAUGAUGUUUCCAUUGUUCUUAUACAUUAAACUAUAAAAUAAAAAUAAAAUAAAAAGUAAUCCAUCUAUAUAUAUAUAUAUAUAUAUAUAUAUAUAUAUAUUUCAAUAAUGUUGGAAAAUCACUUUUAGAAACGCUUAUAAUUGUAAUGGCAAUAUAAGUUUAACCAAGACAAUAAUUUCCAUCCAUUAAGUCUAAGAGGUUGAAAACAGGAAUAUUAAAAAGGAAUAUUAAAAAGGAAAUUUUAAUAAAGUAGCAUAAUUUUAAAUUUUUGAAUGCAAAAUAUAUAUUUAAAAAAUAUAUAUAUAUAUACGAACAAGUUAUGCCCUGCAAGACAUGACUUUAUUAUAAAUAACUCAAUUUUGUUUAUAGAGUAAUGUUAAAAGAAAGACAACUUUAGUGUUUCUACAAAAGUUACGUUGGUCUAUCACCUAUCACAAUUUUGUUUAAAGUGACAUAUGACUUUAGUGUUAUUUGAUUAAAGAUAAAGAAGUCAUGACGAUAAAAUUUUGGUGUUAUUUAAUUAAAGUUAAAGUUGUGCAUAUGUGUAUAUAAUUUUUUUAUCAAAAUUAAAAAUAUUAGUUUGUUAUUAUUAAUAAACGGUGGACUGAUUUAAUAAGAAAAAUUGGUUAUAACGAAAAUAAGACACUAUAGUUAAGUAUUUAAAAAUUAACAUUUGUGCUGUUAUAAAAAAAAAUAAGACAUAGUUGAUUGUUUUAAAAAUUCACAAUUAUGUAAUUAUAAGAAAAUUAAUAUAUAUUAAAAUAUAUGCAAAUUAAUAAGGUUUGUGAUUAGGGUUGUUAUGGAAAUUAUGUUAGUUUUAUAUAUUUAUAUAUUCAUUCAAUUCAAACUGAAAAUGAUUGGUUUAGUUAUGAGUCAAAUUUCAUGCCUACUAAUUAUAUUUAUAAUAAAAUGGAUAAGUAAAUUUUAAAUAAAUAAAAAAAUAUUUUUAUUGUCUACGUACACAAUAAAAUAUCAUCAAUCGUGACAUUUUUUUUUCCUCAUUAAAAUGUCAUUACAUAAUUUAAGAUACUUAAUUAUUUUAUUUACUCAUUUUUUCACAUGAUAUAUCAUACAUUCAAUUUUUUUUAUCAUUUAAUACACAUACAAUGAAUUAUAUUAAAUUAAUUAAAAUAUUCAAUUAACUAUUUAAAUCAAACCUACAAAGUUACACAGUAGCAAACUUAAGAAUUUUUCAAAUAUUUAAUAUUUUCACUAAAGAAUUUAUUAAAUACAUUACAAAAUAAAUAUAACAUAUUUUUUAAUAUUUCAUUUAAAAAAUAGAAUGAAUGAUUUCAAACAAAUCCUCCAACCAAAAUAAUAUAAUAUUUUAUUAUUUUCUAUGUUUUUAAUAUAUGAUAUUUUGUCAUAAUUUUUAUUUUUAACAAUUAAUUACUUUUCAUAAAUAAGAUUUUAAUAUAAAAAAUUAAUAAAAAAUAUCAAUAACUUUUAAAAUAAAACCGUAUGCAUGAUAAACACUACGUGAAAUUUGAAGAAAAAUAUUAAAACAUGACUUUAAUUUUAAUUAAAUAACAUUAAAAUUGUGUUAGCAUAACACACCUUUAUUAAUAAUUAAAAAAAUUAAUUAAUACCAAUUAUGUUAAGGAAGAUCGUAAUAAAUAUAUUUUCAUAAAAACAAUAAAGUAAUCUUUUUUAAUACUAUUUUAUUAUAGUUUUAAACGAAGUCAUGUUUUGAUAAUAUGGCAUCUUUAAAACGAAAUUAUACCAUACAAAAACAUGACUUAUUUAUAUAUUUAAUUUUUAAAAAAACUGUUCAUUUUUUUAUAAUGUUCAAUUCAAAAUUGCACGAUCAAAUUCCCUAAUAAAAAGGUGGUUGAUACACUCCUAACUAUAGAGGGAUGUAAUAAGAAUACUAUUUCAAGGAAUAAAUUAAAUACAAGGUUUCAAAGUUGCUAUAUAAAAUAAUUCUGACAGUUAAUUAUAGUUAAUGCUGCUACAUAUGAUCCAAAUGCCAACUAUUUAAUUAGGUUUUUAAAUAUGCUGAUAAUGUAUUUUUGUGUGGAUAGUGACACAUGCAUCAUCUGUAUGCACACUAAUUUUUAAUGUAUUAUUUUGUGUGCAAUCGCUUAAUAUUCUAUUUGACAUAUUUUUUUUAUUAAUUAGCAUUUAUUAAAAACUAAAUAAUAAGUGAAGUUUAUUAAAUAAGAAGUAUAUAUAACUCACAAAUUUUAUUUUAUUUUUUGAAUAAAUUUGUUCCGCAUUUGAUUAAUAUUUGUAAUGUCAUCAAUUAUAUGUUAUAUUGAGUGAAUGUAAUAAUUAUUAUCUUUCAAAUAAUAUAAUUUUUUUAAAAGAUUUCUGUUUUUUUACUAAUAAUAAAAAAUAUAAAUAAAAAAGUAUUACAAUAUCUCAACUCUUACACAAAACCUAUUUUCAUAAACUAAAAUUCAAUCACAAGUAUAUAAAUACUCUAAAAAGCAUAAACAUAAAUUAUGCACAUAUUAGAGUAAUUCAUUUUUUACCAUAAUUUCUAUAAAAAAACACAACAAUGACCUAAGUCUACUAUCUUAAAAAAAGAAAACCUAACAAUGCGUGUAAUGUUUGUGGCUUGGACUUUAACAUGAGGUUAUUUUGGUUUUUGUUUAGAACUUUUAAUUUUGGAAAGUAGAGUAAGGUUUUCUAUGUCACUUAAUGUUCUUAUGAAAUGUUAGAUUUGUAGGUUGUUACAGGAAUUAUCUAUUUAUGAUGUUUUAUUAAGUUGGACAAGUAGAAGUAAAUGAUAAUUAUUUAGGAUGUGAUGCAUAAGGUUGGGUAUCCCUCCCUAUUAUUAUUUUAUUUUUUUCUUACUAAUAAAGAAAACCAUACCACAUAAAAAAACAAGAUAAAAAUAAAAAUUGUAAUUAGUAGUUUUCACCAAAUACAUCAGUUUUUCACUAAGAAAACUCCUUCCAACAAGAUAAACAACAUGUCAUCAUAAAACAUAAUUGAGAUUGAAUAAUAUGAAAAAUCUACAAAAGUCUCAUUAUUGUAUCUAGGCUUAACAACCUGCUUCAAGUUAUCUUAUUCUAUAUUUAACAAAAAAAAAAAAUAGAAAUCAAAUAAUCAAAAGAGUUGAUAUACGUUAUUCAAGUAAAAAAAAUAAAUAUAAUAAUGAUUUAAAAUAUAAAGUGGUGAAUUUUGUUUUAAUUUUUGUGGGUGAAUAGAGAUGAAUUGUGUUGAUUGUUAGAAUCUUUUCUAGAAUUAGUUUAAUAUUGCAUUGGAUUACGUGUUCAAAUCUGAAUCCAAAAGUGAAGAGAAUCUUGAACAUUAUAGUUAAAGCUUGUCUAAAGAUAUGUUUUAUAGUCGAACUCUCCCAUGUAUUUAAUUUGUAGAGUGAAUUAGAUAAUCAUAUUAAUUACUCACAUUCCAAAUAUGUUUUAUUUGUUUUUAAGUGUUUAUAUUGAUAUAGAUUAUUGAUUAUUAAAUAUAAUAAUUAACAUUAUCAGAAAUCUAAGCAUACAUAAUAUAAAUUUUCUCCUCCCAAAAUGGUUUAACUAUUACUUAUUAUACAUUGCAUUAUUGAUGUGUCUUCAUCUGCGUUAAUCUUGUUCAGUUGUUUCCUUCUUCAAUUCUGAUAUUGUUUUGGGGGAAUUCGAGAUUGAGCGGAACACUACAAUUUCUCUUCGGUUCGUGUUCGCUGAAGUACAUAAGUGCAACUGUUGCAGAGCGAUUGCGUUGAGGAGAUUGGAACCGCAAGAGAUAGGUGAAAGUGUUUUCUAUUUGAAACUGUUGAAGCAUGUGCUACGCAACUGGAGCGGUGAUUUCCGAAGAAAAUCAAUGUGAAGUCCAGUGUAAUUUAGAUUUUGUUGAAUUGAAGAACUUGGAGGCAUUGGUGGUGAUUUGUGCGUCUUUAACAAUUUUCGUUGAAGCAGUUGUUGAAUGCGUGUCUAAGCGCAUUGCUGUUCUGAAUUGAAAUCUGGAAACAAUUUGCACCAGGAAUGCGUCAGCUGAAUCUGUGUUGAUGUGUAAAUGAGAUCAAUUCUGUUUAGGACUGUUGAAUCGGUUCAAAUCCUAUAAAUAUGCUGGAAUUGGUGCUUAGUUGUUGAAGCAAGUUGGUGAAGGGGCUUUUCUUGGAAUGGUGAUUUAGAAACUGAGUUGAUGAUAGAAUCAAAUUAUCAAACAAAUGGUGAGCAAUUAUCUGUUUUUAAAUUUUGGUUAAAUUGAUACUUGAAUUGCGUAUAUUGAAAUGAUUUUCAGAAGUUUGAAAUAAUUGAAUUGUUGGAAUAGAAAUGAAAUCAGCUGAAAUCUGAUACUGAAGUACAUUGUGUCUUAGAAUCAUUAUGGUGCCAACUGUUUGAUGAAUUGAUUCAUUAGAAUUGGCGCAGAUUUUUGUUUUCCAGCUGUGGAAAUCUAAAAGUAGUUUUAUUUGUUUGCAGCCGCACAGUUUUGGUGCAAAAUUACUGAAUUGAUCUUUUGUUACAGCUGAAAAUUUUUUGUUAAUUCAAUUUUGGUGAUUUGGAAGCAAUGGCUAAUUCAUGUUUAAUUUGGUGAUCUGCAACUUGAAUUUGUUGUUCAGUGUUGAGUGCAACUGGUGUAACUCAAUUGGUUCAAAUAAAAUAGUGCAUGUGAGGCAGCAUCAGGUUGAUUUGGAAGUAAACUAGUGCAGUAAGCGAAUUGAGUUCUGCAGAACUGGAAUUUGCAUGGGACCGUGUAUUCUUAAAUUUUGUUUAUAAAUUUUUUAAUCCAUUAUAAUGCCUAUAUCUAGUUGUUUCAUUUGUGUCCCUACUAUUUUUUGUAGUCUUAAUUUUUAUUUUGAAUCUUUAAAAUUACUAUUCCUAAGUUGUCACAAUUCCAAAUCCAAAUCUCUUUUAGUUUAGUUUUCUUAAUUAAGUUUUUAUUGAUUUUGAAUUUUAUUGACUUUUUAGAUGAAAAUUAUCUUCUAGGACCUUGUUUGUUUCUUGGAUGUAACAAAGAAUUUGAGGAUAUAUAAUAGAUUAUAUUAUAUUAAACCGUUAAGUUAAAAAAUCAUAAUAAAUUAUGCUGCAAUUUUCUUUUAAAUCCUUUUUCACUUGUGGAGAAAAAUAGAUAACAAUUAGAAAAAUGGAUUAUAAUAUUUUAACAGUUUUAAAACUAUUGUGUAAAUAUCAAAAUUAAAUUAAUAUUUUUUUAAUUAUUUAUUUUAUUAUAGUAAAAUCCUAAAUAUUAUAAUAUUAAAAAGUAAUAUAUUAUAUUAAAUAUAAUAUGGUCUGGUUUUUAUAAGUUUGUAUAAAAAUGUAUUUAAAUAUGUUUCUAACAUCAAAAUGUUAAAAAGAAAAAAGGAAAUUCAAAAACGAAAACAAUAAAAAAUAUUUAAAAAUUUGUUUGAAAUAAGAACAGUAUCUAUAAAUAACAGUGCAGCCAUCAGAGAGCGCUAAGCUAGAAUUCCUGGGCAAAUGAUCUUCUUCUCCAAAGAGUUUCAAACAGCAGAUAAAGUAUCCGAUUCAACGAUGCAGACGCUAGAGCAGCUAUACAAGGGUUGGCCGAUCCCCUCCCUUCCACUCUCAUCAAGGUUUGAAUUUGGUGACUCUGAGAAGAAGAACAAGAUUGUAAUGCAAGAAACAGUGAAAGUGGGAGAAUCCAUGGAAAAGAUUAAUAUUUCCCCUUUUGAAGUUGCAUUGAUAGUAGAUGACUACCUCUGCGCCAACAACUUAUUCCAAACACGAGCCACCUUCCGCAUGGAGGCCUCCUCCCUCUUCGCCGCUUCGCCACUCAUUCAGGUUUCACUUCAUCCCUUAACGAUCCACAACUCUUUUUCUCAUUCUCACUGUGCACACUUCUUUAAUUCUUUCAUUUCUCUUUUCUAGCCAUCCAACACUUCCGCUGAUUAUAAUUUGGACAUAAUUCUCGCUGAUUAUAUAUGUUUGAGAAGACAAAAGAUAAUCUUGGAUCAGGAAAUGUGUGCGAUCACUCAAGAAAAAUCUAGAGUUCAGAAGUUGUUGGAUGACAUGCACAAUGCUGUCAAUACUUACAAUGUCUUUCAUAGCCCAAUUCCAAUGGAUGUCUCUUCUGGUAAAAACUUCUUUUCCUGUUUAAUCGUCAAUUCAAAAUUCAGGAAUGGUGUUUUUUGUUUUUAACUCUUAUUUGUGAGUAAUUGUGAUUUUCUUUUGUUAGGUGUGUGUACUGCUACCACCGCCUAUGUACAGAACACAUGCAAUGUACUGCCGCAGCAGUCUACCAAGAGAAAAAAUAGUGAAGCUGAGCCUACAAUUGCAAAACGACCUCGUGGCAGACCACCUGGGAAGAAAAAUCAAUUUCGAGGUAUAAUUAUAAUUGUUUCUGUUGAGUAUACAUGUUUUUGUCAUGUUCUCAAUUUAAUUUUUACACUUACUUUAUCGUCACCCUCAGCUCUAAACACGCUCCCAUUGUCAAGGACUCAACCACAAUCCACCAACUCAUCAAUUCUUGAAACACAGACAACCAAACAAUUUUUUCAGCCUGCUGUUACAACAUGUAAUGAGAAUGUUGUUUCUCAUUGUCAAAACAGCAAAGUUAUGGUUGAUCCUGAAAAGGAAAUUACUUAUAAAGACAGCCUUCACAUUUCUCCUAUCAAUUCAGAUACUAACAAACAAUACAUUGCCUCUCCUAUACCUCAAAGUUUGGAAAAUUCAAUACCAAAUGAGGUUUCCAACCUUCACAAGGAAACACAGAACCACCAGUCAGACAUGAAUUUAUCAAGCAUUGAUUUUGAUUUAGAUGUGGGUUACUGGUCAAACCUCUCAUUUGAAGACAAGAAAUUUUUGGAUGAUCUUUUUUCUGAUUAUCAACCACCUUCAACUCAUUCCGAGGGUAAUGCAUAGAGGAAUUUUUUGAUGCUGCAAUCAAAUCUGACACAAGGGGGACCUGCUGUGCUGUGGAUAACACUCUUCUUUAGUUUAUUAGCUUUUGGUAAUUAGAUAAGGCCAAUACAAUUGAUCUUUCACUGUCUGUACAUUAAUUCUUUGUAAGAAUAUGUUGUACAUGAAUAAAGUUUUCUAAUUGUUUCAUUAAAAGUUUAUUUCUUUUUUCAUUCGAUAACAGAAAUAGAACUGUCUUUCUUCAAUUCGUCAGGCUUUGGUUAAUGUGAUGAAUUUAUCCCACCACUCUCGUUAUAUAUUUUAAAAUUUUGCAAGAGUUUUUAAAAAAUGAAUAAAGCUCUAAUAAUUGGGUUGGAUGAUGAUUUUUCAUACUGCAACUGCUGUAUAUUUCUAGUACUUGAGAAUGAUAUCUUAUUCUUAGAGGAAGACUCUUCUGCAUGGACAUGUUGGCUGGUAAAGAGUACAAUGAAUUUGUUGUGACAUGUGUUGUGUGGACCGCAUUAGAUUAUAGUUAUAUGUUGGAUGUAAUGGAGGAGAUUAUAGAGUUCUGUCAGACAUUGUUGGGGUUGGGGUGUACUUAGUUUGCUGUUGUUUAAUUUGCCAUUAUAAUAGGUAUUCAAUUCAAGGCUAAUUUAGUUAUGACACUUUUUCAAAAAAAAAUAAGUACUUUCCUUAAAAUCCACCCAAAAUUAGAGGGGUAGGCAAAUACGAGAAUGGGGGAUUUGAUCCCCUUUCCGCUUUGAAAUCAUUGAACCUGUUGAAAGUAGUUAUUGAAGAAACAACAUCUUCAUUAGGUGAUAGAAUGAGGUUAGCUAUAUGGAUCAAUUGAUCCCGUCAGCCCCUCUCCUCUUUGUCAAAUGCUAUCUCUUGAAAUAUUCUUCUUUGUUCUUCUACUACUCCUAUGUAAUUGAGAGUUAAAGAAAACACAAUACUAUGUUAAUAAAAUAUAGAAUAUGAGAUAUUGUACCAUAGAUAUGGAGUAAGGUUAUACUUGAAAAGAAAACUAAAAAUAUCAGUUCGUUAUAUAAUCACAAACAACUGUACUGUCUAUUUUGCACUUGCUGUUAUUGACUUUGUAUAAGUUAGUUUUAUUAAUUAGUAUGCAAAUUAGCUACCUUUCUCCUUCGUUCUACUUUUACUAUCCCCUUUCCAAACACGUUUAAUAUUUGCUGAAACUCGAAACUGCUCCGCACCAUUGAUUAGUGUAUCUCACAGCAACAAAAGUGUAAAGAAAUCUGUUGGUAAGUCCAAAAUAUUGUUGUCUUCUCUGCAAUUAGUGCAUUUAUUAAUUAUAUAUGCUAAGCUUUUUCGUUGUUAUCAAUUACAUUUUAAUUAUACUUGAGAAAAUUCUUUCUAUUUAGUGUUAUAAAUGGAUAGAGGAUAAGAUAUGAUGUUAUGUUCCUGGUGUGUUAAUAUGCGACCGAUUGAUUAAUAUCUCUCCGAUGUUUCUUCCUCUAAGAUUUCCCAACAGCAGUGUCAAAGUGAAUGGUUUAUAGUGAUUCACUUACAAUCUAAGUGGUGCGUGUGUCAUUGAGGUAAAUGACAAUGUAAGUAAGAGUAACUAUUGAUACGUACUUGUUUAUUCUUUCAUGUGAUACUGUGAUACUUCUGAUUUUGGAUAUUAAACACCACUCAUUUAUGAUGCAUGGUUACAUUAAAAUGUUGAAACAUGUAGCCUAUAUCCAUUUUUGCUUUUGUCAGACAUAAUAUCAAGCUUCUUUUAAUAACCUUAAAUCAAUUUCCUUGGUGACAUCUGAAGAUUUUUGUAGAGGUUAAUGAGGAUGUAGGAUCUGUAUUUGAGUUAAGAUAUCCAUCAAUCCAUCCAUGUUUCUUUGUACUGAUAAAAACAUAAAAACAUUUCGUUUAACCCAUGAAUUUCCUCUUGAUUGCUUUUAUAGCAUUUUUGUGAGAAGUAUGUAGAAGUCAAUUAGGUUGCAAAUAAGAAUGAAAAAUACCCACAAAUAAAAAAAAUGCUACUCGGAUUCACCCCGAAAAGCAAAUGACUAGGAAGAGAGCCUUCACAAUUCUCCGAUGGAGGCAGAUAGUGACAAAAAAAUGAGGUUAUUGAACUUCAAUGCCUUUCAUAUACUUGAAAGUUUGGAGAAUUCAUACCAGCGGAGAACUGGUCACAUGUAUUUUUCAGAUUCAGGUAUGAAAUUCAUAUUCAAAUUAUUGUAAGUCAAGUAAUUGAUUUUGGUAGUUUGCUUUCUAGAUAACCAUGAUUCAGGGAUUAACUUGGUUUGACCUUUGAGAGUAGUGAAUUUGAACUACAUUGCAUUUAUAUUAUAAUAAUUUAAGUGCAAAAGAGUUACAAAGUCUAUUCAAUCUCAACAUGUUAUCAGAUAUGAAAUCUUCCCUUUUUUGCACCUAGUUUCAACUUAAUAUAACUUGUAAUCUCUUUAGCUUACUAUUAUUUAUAAGUCUUCAAUGAAUAUAAUCAUACUUUAUAAUGAAGAGUGCAUCUGCUGUGAUUACAUCUAGUCCCCGAGGAUACGACAACCCCUUUUAUGAUCUAUAUUACAGUUGAUUCGAUCUACUUGCUGAGAAAGAUGCCAUCAAUGUUUAUCUUGUGAAGUCAUCAACAAUGACUAGACCAUAUAUUUUGCCUCCAAUAGAUCUAGUUCUAGUAGGUCCAAAAAGGUCCAAGUGUAUCAACUCAAGAGGUUUUUGAGUGGAUUUGUCAUUUUUGCUCUUUAAUGAGCUUUUGACUUGUUUUCCCUUCACACAUGCCUCACAAGAAAGAUUAUCAUUGAAUGACAUUAUUAGCAAAUCUGUCAUGAGAUUAUGUGAUGGAGGACCAUCCAACGCCACUCAUAUAGGACAUCUGACUCGUGCCAUGACUAGAAUAAUAGAGAAAGGAGACACUAGUCAGAACAAUUUUCUCAUGUGCUCUAUUAUGACUUCUAGUCAUGCAUAAAUGCAAGUAGUAGAAUACUCAUGAAUAAGACCUGUAUUUUGAUUUCCUUUCAUGAGUACUUUAUAGAUUAAUCAAAGACACUAAAGAGGACAUACACGACCCUCCUUAAAUCACCAAACCUCACCACAGUUAAGCUUGCUUAACUAGGGUUAAGCUAGCUUAAGUAGCAAGCUACCCUCACUCUCUUCCUCUAUAAAUACCUCAAAUUUGGCAUUAUUGAAUGAAGUAUUCAAAAUUUGAAACUCAUUCUCCCAAAUCUCCCUUGCUAGAGAGCCUUAUUGGCCUAGUUAAACCCUAAGAAAGUUGGUCACACACCUCUUUCUUCUUCAUAGCACCUCAAACUCGCUCCAAACGUUACCUUUUCCUCUCAUUUUCGGUGCAUAUCUCCAAUCACUUUCACUGCCACUCCAUGUCUUCAUUCAACCUCAAACAUAGAUUGCAUUAGGUGGAUCAGAGCACACCAAGAUCCCACUGCCAAGCUUCAUCCAGCGAAGUCAAAAUUUACAAAUCUUGUUCUGUUGUUCAACCUUGUUCUUCACGGUUCAUCUUUGUUCUUGCCUUUUCUUCCAUAAUUCUUUGUUUUCCACUGUUUGUAAUCACUUUUCACUGAUUACAUCCUGUUUCCACUGUUUAAAACACUUUUCCACCGAUUGUAUUCACUCAAACCUUAGUCAAACACCUUUCCUUUUUUCCGCUGCAAAACCUCACAAGUUGCUUUUGAUUUUGAUUUGUUUUGCCAUUUUCACGCUUUUAAUUGGUUCUUUUUAUGUUCUAAAUGAUGUUCUACCAUUUAAAAUCUUUCAUAUACAGUUUAAACGAUUAGUUUGAUGUUUUGUUCGGUUCAUUUUGCUUCAUUAUGUUUCCUAUAGUUUCCGCAACAAAACCUUCCAAAUAUAGCAUGUGUUAAUACGAUUUUACCUUAUUUUUCUUCAUUCUUUGUUGUUUUUCUGAGUUUAAUUCUAUGCAUGUGUGCAUUUAGGUCUUGUUUAGUGUUUCUAAUCCUUGCAUGUUCAAUUUCACGUCCAAAUCUUGCUUAGUUUUGCUUAAUUCAGUCAAGUCUUGCUGCUGCAUGCUAAGUGUUUAAUAGUUUGUUUAAAUGCACACCUAGUGUUUAUUAAAAGUUCUUUUGAAUUUUCUGAGUAUAUUCUUCGAUGCUUUUCAUUUUUUUACCUAUUCUCGAGUCUCUUAACUUUCUAUUAGUUCAUUAAUGAAUUUCUUUAAUCCUUUUCCAAUCAUUGUCUUGAAGUUUUGUUCACUUGUGCUUUGUUUCUUUAGGUUUCUGAUUUAAUUUCCAGAAUUGUGUGAUUUUCACUUUGUUUCAAAAUUAAUUCUGAUCUUGUUAUACAUUCAAACCUUGUAAUUUUUUUUCUGCAUGAACCUUAACAUGUUUCCAACAUCCAAUAAAAAAGGCACGUUCUAAUCUCAACUACAAAAAACAUUAAAUAUCACAAAUGCUAGGACGUUUUUGUUGUAUCACACUUAGUUACAGUGCACUUAUAGCUCUCGGUUUUCAAUUUUCUGCACCUAAUUAAUUUGGUGAUUUAGCCUGAAACUUUUACCAGAUGUUGUUACAUACGUUACCUAUCACUGGUUAAAAUUUGAGCUUCAAAUUUGAUUUCACUACACUCGGCCAAUGCUGAACCUAGCUUGCAUAAUUACUCCAAAUUGCUCGUGGAUAUAUUAAACUUGUUGCAUUUAUUUAUCGGUAAAUAUAUAUCCAAUUUGUCUCAAAUUUGUUGCAUAUUACCUCUUGUUGAGUUCAAAAUAUACCAUAAAAAAUUCAGAAUAAAAAACUUUGUGAAAAAAUUCAUAUAAAUUUUGGAACAGUUAGUGCUAGUCCAUUCUAAAAUUUUUGUUUUGUAAUCUUUUCUAGAACAUUUCUUAAGUUCUUUUUUCUUGUGUUUCAUUUAUUAGUAGCUUUAAUUUUUUCUUGUCUUUCUUCACCUUCCUUUUCUGUUUGUCACAUAUUAUUCCUUUUCAGUUUAACUUUUCAUAUUUUUAGCUUUUAUUGCUUUAUUCUUUGGCUUCCAUUAAUGCACAUUUUGGUGAGUUGGUGGUCCUAGAAGUGGUACAUCAAGGAGUGAUUUGGCUCAACAUUUUUUGGGUAAUACUUUGGUCUUCAGGACUCUUUAUCAAGAGGAGAAAAGAAGGAUCAAAGAGAAGCAAAUUCAGAGUACAUUACUUCAAGGAACAAAUCAUACACUUUUAGAAUUUUCACCAAACACAUUAUGCUCAAGCCUUGUACUUUUUCUUUUAGUUUUCAAAAAAAUCACCAAGCACAUUCAGAGCUCAAAAACUUUUGUGUACUUUAAUUUUAUUGUAUCAUUGUCUUUAAUUUUUAGUUGAUUGGAAAAAUGCUCCAUCCACAAUCCCAAUAAACUUUGUAAUAAUUUUUGCUCAUUAAAGUGACAGUAUGUCAGUGAACUCUAAGUUUUCAUUCCACCAUCAUAAUUACUAGUUUUCAUUUCACUCAAAGACAUCCAUUUUCCACACCAAGAAAGCUCCAUCCAACAAGACAAACAACAUGCCAUUAUAACACAUGAUUGAGAUUGAGUACGAAAAAUCUACAAAAGUCUCUAUAUCUAAGCUUAACAGCCUGAUUCAAGUUAUCUUAUUCUAGAUUUAACAAAAAAUAGAAAUCAAAGAACCAAAGAGUUGAUAUACGUUAUUAAAGAUAAAAAUAUAAUAAUGAUUUAAUAUAUAAAGUGGUGAAUUUUGUUUUUAUUUUGUGGGUGAGUAGAGAUGAAUUUGUUGAUUGUUAAAAUCUUUUCUAGAAUUAAUUUAAUAUUGCAUUGGAUUACGUGUUGAAAUUUGGAUCCAAAAGUGAAGAGAAUCUAGAACAGUAUAGUUAAAGCUUGUCUAAAGAUAUGUUUUAUAGUCAAACUGGCAUGUAUUUAAUUUGUAGAGUGAAUUAGAUAAUCAUAUUAAUCACUCACAUUCCAAAUAUGUUUUUAGUCUUCAUAUUAAUACGGAUUAUUCAUUAUUAAAUAUAAUAAUUAACAUUAUUGGAAAUCUAAGCAUACAUAAUAUAAAUUUUCUCCUCCCAAAAUGGUUUAACUAUAACUUAUUAUAUUGAAUUAACUCAUUACAAUGUCUUUAUAGCUAUAACUCAAAAAUGAAAGAUGACAAACGGAUAACUCAUUGACAAAUAGGCUUAUAUUGGAAUAACUGUAUUGGUUUAUGUUUUAUAUAUGUUUUAAUAAAAUCUUUAGGACAAGAAAAAAUCCGUUGGGAGCAGAGUUAGAUAUAGUAGAUGUGAGGGUAAUUUUGGUAUGAAAGAUAGGUACUAUUAACAAAGUUUUGGAAUUGGAGUAUCUUUAAAUACUUCCAUUUAUUUAUUUAUUUAUUUUUCUAAAAAAAAGUCAGCUGACAAAUAAAUAUCCUACUCUAAAUAUUAACUUAUAAUAAUAAUAAUAAUUAACAUAUUUAAAAAUAAAAUUUGAUCAUAAAAAAUAUUUUUGAUAAAAUAAUUACUUAUUAGUAAUUUUAUAUGAUUGGAUAUUUUUAAAGAAAAUAAGUAAAAAAAACAUAAUUUUUUUUUUAAAAGUAACUUAAAAUUACGCCUUAAAAAAUAGAUUUUACAUUUUUUUUUGUAAAAACUCUCCUCUUAGACAUUACUAUGAAACCUGACAUCUCAGCUAGAUUAACACCUCAAGUAACAACAAUCAUCUGUCACCCCCAUGAAAAAUGUAUUAUUAAAAAAAAAAGGAAAUACAAAAAAAUAUGGAGGAUUAGACCAAAAUCCAUAUAUUAACAAAAAUGGUAAAUAGGUAAUCUAUACCUAUUAAUAAAGAACUAUAAGAAAAGACUAGAUGGAAGCCUAUUAUACCAAUAAAAAUACUCUCUAUGAAUAAAGCCCGUUGGAAAUUGAUAUGAAUUGAAAUUGUAAAAUUGUAUAUUCAUGUAUUGUAUUGAACAAAAGUGUACAACUAUUUAUAAUUGUCAAACUAGAAUGAAAGAGAAACAUUCUAAUAACAGAAAAAUAACUAGCUUAUGAUUUUAAUUGUUUUAAGAGUUAACAAACUAACUCUAAAUUUACCUUAUUCCAACACUCUUCCUUAAGCUAAAUUCUGCAACACAUCUAACUCCUAACCACUCUCUUACUUCUUCAAACUUGUCUAGUUUAGAUGGUUUGGUGAAAAUAUCAACCACUUGUUCCUGGUGUUGCAAUGCUUCAGUUCUACCUUUCUUUUUCCAACUUGUUCCCUUAAGAAAUGGAACUUGAUCUCUAUGUGUUUACUCCUCCUAUGUAAGAUUGGAUUCUUUGCAAGGUUGAUGGCUGAUUAGUUGUCCACACAAAGUUUCACAAAAACCACUUAAUUUUUCAUUUUGAAAUUCCCCAUGAUCACUACGAAUGACAUAAAUGUUACUGCAACACUUGUUUUGUAAUCUCUUGGCAAGCUUUUUAAGUGCAUAAAAUGCAUCACUCUUGGAUUCCAAAAAUAAUUUCCAUGUGAACCUAGAGAAAUCAUCAACAAUUACAAGUGUAUAGUUGUUUCCACCAAGACUCGUGGUUUUUGAAGGACCAAACAAAUCCAUGUGCAGCAGUUCAAGGGGUUUGGAAGUUGAAACAAUAUUUUUCAGUUUGAAGGAGUGUUUGAUUUGCGUCCCCUUUUGACAUGCUUCACAUAUGUGGUCUUUCUCAAACUUGAGUUUGGGUAAACCUACCACAAGAUCUCUUGAAAUUAAUUUAUUUAGAUGAUGCAUGUGGAUGUGUGCUUUCCUUCUAUGCCAUAACCAUGAUUCCUCAUGUUUGGUUAGAAGGUAACCAAUAAAUGUAGAAUGUGGGAUAUCAAACAAAUAGACAUUGUUGAUCCUUUUACUAGUCAACAAAACUUCCUGUAAUUUGGGCAGUUGUAUCUCACAUGUGUUGGGCUUGAAGGUUAUUUAAUAACCUUUGUCACACAAAUGGCUUAUGCUUAGGAUGCUAUGCUUUAGACCUUCCACAAAUAGCACAUCAUGGAUCAAGAAGGUAUUAUUGUCUUUGAUGGUCCCUCUUCCAAGAAAUUUCCCUUUGUUGUUGUCCCCACAUGUAACAUGACCUUCUUGCUUAAGGAGUAGAUUGACAAACUUGCUUUUAUCCCUUGUCAUGUGCUUAGAACAACCACUGUCCAGGUACCACAAGUGUUGAUUUGCCAUCAAAGAACCCUGCAUGAAACAAGAUCAAGGAGCAAGAUUUGACCCCCUUUUAAAUUUGGGUCCAUGGGCAUUAACUAAGACUUAGGAACCUUAGAAUUCUUAGGAACCCACUUUAAAACACCUCCGGGAACAGAAAACCUCCUUACUCUGCAAAAUCUAACAGUAUGACCCCCCUGCAAAAUCGUUUUUUUUUUUAAAAACUGGAAAAGGGUUUUGAAACUGAUUUGUUCUUGCUGUUUGGGUUAAAACCCAGUCCAACCUUUCUUAAAACACAAUUUUGAGAUGAAAGAACAGCUUUAAGAUUUGAUUGCCCUUUGGAAAACUUGUCCAUAGUUUUUAAAAUAUAGUGGACCUUCUUUUGAAGAGCUUCACAGUUUUCAAAAAAGCUAGAAUCACACUUGUAAGAAGAGUUUUUGUAAAUCAUUUCCAAAUUUUCAAAACCAGUUUUUGAAUUGUUCAACUCAACUCCUAAUGCCAAUUGUUAGAAUUUAAGACCUUAAACAAGAGGGGGUGAAUUGUUUAUGAAAGAUUUUCGCAAAGGUUGAAGGUGGAGUGAAAAGCUAUGAAGAAUUAAUCAAUUGAAAAAUUUGUUCAACCAAUUAAAAACUGUUUUAAGUUUGAUUCCAUAAAAUCAACCAGUUGUUUUCACGAAACAACUGAUUGUUUAUACCAGCAAAAUUGAAAAACAAUGUUAAAACAGUUUAUGAGUGUAGGGAUAAAGAGAAUAAAACAAAAUGUUUAUACAUCUAGUUCUCAGCUAACCACUAAGAAUUCACUAUGUAAUCAAACCAGAUUACAAAACACACACCAAAAGUGAUGAUCUUGAACCCUUCAAGAACACACACCACUUUCAGCAAACAACACAGUUUUGAGAAACACCUUCUAAAAUCGCACCACACAAGUACACACAUAAAUACAAUGUUUAAGGAAGAAGGGAAUAGAAUACACAUGGGUAAAUCAAAGUUUAAAGUUCAGAAGUACAACACCCAAUCCUAUUCCACACACUUGAGAUGAUCCAAAGCUUUUCAAAUCUUGAAAACAUUUUUGAUUAAUCUCUCUUUGUUGGUUAAUGCUAAGGAACAUUAAACGACCUUUAUAAGACCUCAAUAAAGUAGUCAAAACAGUUAAAUAAAAAAACCAUAAGUUGUUGGAAUCAUUUAAAACAAAUUAAAACCUCUUAACAAAAUUUUGUUAAGGUUUUCACAAAAACAAUCAGUUGAUUUAUCGAAACAACUAAUUGAUUUUGUUUGACACCAAAGCCAAAACAAAGGUAAGCUUUUCCAAACCAUUUUAAAAACCACUAAGUGUCAAGCAACCAGUUGAUUCGACAUUUUAACAGGUUGAAAUUUCACACCCAUUUAGAAAACCCACCUUUUAAAAAAGGUAAAGAUUCAAUUGAGCUUGGAUCAUCUUAAGGAGUGAAUUAACAAGUUUCAAACAACUAAACGAUACACACACAUCAACAGAAUCUUCAAGCUUUCUACUUGAAUUUGGAGACAUCAAAGCAUUUUGUUCAACAUUUACCUCCUAUACAAGUGUGGGGGAUGGAGAUGAACAAGUGUAUCUCGGUAAUUUCAAGACAACUCCUGUCCUAUGAAAAGGAAAGGUUCUUAUAAAGCUCACAUAUGGUAAAACUCUAACUUUUAGUGAUGUGCUACAUGUGUAAUCAGUUAGAGUUAAUUUAAUCUUUGUAGCAUUACUAAGCAAAGUUGGGGUUAAAAUGUCAUUUGAAUCUGAAAAAAUAAUGUUUUGCAGGGAAGGGAUAUUGUGAUCAAGGCUUUUAAGCAUUCUUCUGCUUAUAUUGUUGAUUCGUAUGAUAUAUGACAUGCUAGAUUAGGACAUGUGAAUUAUUCGUAUGUUAUGAAAUUGCAACGACCAGGAUUAAUCAACAUGCAUGACAAACAAAAUAGUAAAUGUGAUAUAUGUGUAGAAUUUAAAAUAAUGAAGAAAACAAGUCAUUUUGUAGAACGUCAAACUUAACUUCUUGGUUUAAUUCGUACUGAUCUUGCAGAUUUAAAACAAACCAAGUCUAGAGGUGACAAAAAUUAUUUUGUAACUUUUAUAGAUUAUUUUUCUAGAUACACCAAAGUGUAUUUAAUUAAACAUAAGGAUGAAGCUUUUGACAUGUUCUUAACUUAUAAAACGGAAGUAGAAAAUCAAUUGAAUAAGAAAAUUAAAAGAAUUAGAUCUAAUAGAGGUGGUGAAUAUGUUUUUUUUUUAAUGAUUAUUGUGUUAAAGAAUGUAUUAUUCAUGAAGUAACCCCACUGUAUUCACCUGAAUCUAAUGGAGUAGCUGAAAGGAAAAAUAUGUUCUUAACGAAAUGAUGAAUGCCAUGCUUAUUGGGUCUAAUACUCCUGAUAAUAUGUAGGGUGAAUCUCUGCUUACUGCGUGUUUUUUGCAAAAUAGGAUACCACAUAAAAAAACUGGUAAAACACCUUAUGAGUUGUGGAAAGGAUAUCAACCUAAUUUGAAAUACCUAAGAGUGUGGGGGUGUUUAGCUAAAGGGAUGUUACCUAAUCAUAAGAAAAGGAAAAUAGGCUCUAAAACAUCUGAUUGCAUGUUCUUAGGAUAUGCGGAAGAUAAUGUUGCCUAUAAGUUUUUUGUUCUUAAUAGUGAUAUAAUUGAACGUAACACUAUAGUAGAGACAAAAAAUGUUGAGUUUUUUUAACACAUCUUUCCUUUAAAGAGUAGUGGUACAUCUUAACAACCUAUAGAUAGUGCUAGUGAUGUCAUGAGUUAGGAGAAGUAAAAGACAAAGAAAGGAAACCUCAUUUGGAGAUGAUUUUUACACUAGUUGAAAAUGAUCCCAUAAGUUUUUUGGAAGCUACUAGUGCUCCUGAUGCUAAACAAUGGGAUAAGGCUGUUAGGAUUGAGCUUGAUUCAAUUAAGAAAAAUAAUAUGUGGACCUUAGUAGAUCUUCCUAAAGGAGCAAAACCCAUUGAUUGUAAGUGGAUCUUUAAGAAGAAGUAUCAUCCUAAUGGAUCCAUAGAGAAAUAUAAGGCAAGAUUAGUUGCUAAAGGUUUUACUCAAAAACAUAACAUAGAUUCCUCUAUCCGUGUGUUGCUAGCCCUAGUAUCUAUCCAUAAGUUAGUAAUUCACCAAAUGGAUGUUAAAACAACCUUUUUGAAUGGUGAACUAGAAGUGGAAAUUUAUAUGACUCAACCUGAAGGAUGUGUAGUUCUAGGUCAAAAGGAAAAAGUAUGCAAACGUUUAAAAUCUCCGUAUGGUUUGAAAUAAGUACCAAAACAAUGGCAUGAAAAACUUGAUAAUGUUUUACUUUGUGAAGGUUUUUCUACCAAUGAUGAUGAUAAAUGUGUGUAUUCUAGAUCUGAAAAUGGUGAAUGUGUCAUUAUAUGUUUGUAUGUGGAUGACAUGCUAAUUUUUGGUACAUGCAAUGAUAUUGUUUUAAAAAAAAAGUUAUUUCUUGGAUCUAAGUUUGAGAUUAAAGACAUGGGUGAAACAAGUGUGAUUCUAGGAGUUAAAAUUAUAAGGAAGGGAGAUAAUAUAUCACUAUCCCAAGAAAAAUACAUUGAGAAACUUUUUAAGAAGUUUGGUUACUAUGACUUUAAGUCAGUGAGCACCCUUAUGAUGCUAACUCUAAAUUAAAGAAGAACAAAGGAUAAUCUAUUUCUCAAACUCAGUAUGCCCAGAUAAUAGGGAGUUUAUUGCAUUUAAUGAUUUUUUCUACACCAGAUAUUGCUUAUGCAGUGGGUAGAUUGAGUAGAUACACUCAAUGUCCUAGUCAAGAUCAUUGAGAUGCGCUUAAGAGACUCAUGAAAUACUUGAGAGGUACAAUGGAUUAUGCCAUUGAAUAUAGUGGAUUUCCCAUUGUGCUAGAAGGGUACAAUGAUGCUAAUUGAAUAUCUGAUUCAGAUAAGACAAAAUCUACUAGUGGUUAUGUAUUUACACUUGGAAGUGGUGCAAUUAUAUGGAGAUCGGUCAUGCAAACUAUUAUUGCAAGAUCAACAAUGGAAUCUAAGUUUAUUGCUCUCGAAAUGGUUGGUAGGGAAGCUGAGUGGUUGAAAAACUUCUUAGCAAACAUUCCGUUAGGAAUGAAACCAUCCCAUUUGUAUCAAUGCAUUGUGAUUUCCAAUCGGCAAUAGCUAUAACUAAAAAUAAAACUUACAAUGGAAAGAACAUACAUAUACAAUUGAGACAUAAUUUAGUAAAGUAGCUGCUAAAGAGUGGAACGAUAUCUAUUGACCAUGUCAAGUCAAAACGGAAUUUGGUAGAUCCUCUAACAAAACCCCUAAGGAGAAAACUGAUUUUAGAAGCAUCGAGGGGAAUGAGACUUAAGCCACUUGCAAACAAACAAGUGAUGAAAACCCAACCUUUGUGAUUGGAGAUCCCAUGAUAAGGUUCGUAUGGGUAAAAACAAGUCACUUGUUAGUUUUGCUAACAUUAAUAUUGAUUUACAAUCAAUUUUGUCCAUUCCUAUUACGGGUGGCAAAGCGGGUCGGCCCGCCCUGCAUAGGCCCGGAAAAUGCGGGUCGAGUUGGUCCGCCCCGCAUGCGAGUUGGCCUGUGGGCUUGCGGGCUGACCCGUUUUUUUUUUUGAAACAUAGAGGAGGAGUGGAGGCAGUAGCGAUGUGCAGCAGCGACGCGACAAUUGCAAGCGAAGCCACGCGGAGUCACUAGAAGAGCGAGCGAUGACACUGCAAAGGAGAGUGUGUUGUGUGUUUGUGUGCGUUUUUUCGGAACAGCGUAACUGUGUUGUGUUUUGAGUGAAAACCUAAUUUUCUUUCACUCAAAGUUGUCACUCCUCCACUGGACCAUUGUUCUCAAGUCAAUUAAUUUUAUUUUUUUUUGCUGGCUAGUGGGCCAGCCUGCCCCCCUGUUGGCCCGCGCGGGCCACAGGUUAUGCGGGGCAGGCUAAUGCGGAUUAGCGGGUUGAAAACGUCAACCCCCCCUGCGUUUUUUAUUGCGGGCCAGCCCGCACGGCCCGCCCCACUUUGCCACCCCCGAUUCCUAUGGUGUGUGUGAAAAGUGGUAGAGACUGCAUUAUUGAGAGGAUAAACUUUGUAGUUACAAUUAUGAGAUAAAAGAGUUUUAACGAAUAACAAAGUUUUAAUAAUUUUCAUAUAUCCUUUAUGGGUGGUAUAUGAUUUGCAGCAUACAAUUGAUGAAAUCACCUAUAUGAGUGUCAAGUGGGGCCGCUUGCAUGAGAUCUUGGCAAGAUCUUUAUAACACUCAUGAAUACCGGGCAAGUGCAUGACCUAGUAAACGUAAUACAUUGAUAACAACAAGAAUAAUAGGGGUGUAUUGUGAUUCAUAAACCAUUAACGUAUAAUAAGUGUAUUGGUUCAUAUAACUCGUUAUACCAACUAUAUUGUGUGUGUUAAGUUCAUCAAUCUAGGAUUGGUUCAUAUAGCUUGAUAAACCAACUUUAAUGCAUUACAUCUUUUUCGAAACCCAUAAUUUUCUUCUUUCUUUCUUUGUCUCUAUGUUUUAUCUUUUGCAAUAUGCGGGGGAUUGUUGUAAAUCAAACCUACAAAAUGAUGAAGAGAUAUUGCAAAAGAGGGUUGCGAACCCUAAAUCCACAUCCGCGAAGUUAAAGGAGAAACGAAAGGGAGUUACGCACAACUUCCCUUCUUUAUCGGGUGGUUCAGAGAACGUUGCAAGAGUCUCGGAUGGUUGGCUCCUUCAUUCACGCAGGUCCUCCUCCAUCUCCGGCGGUCGCUUUGAUUCUGAUGUUCUGGCCGUGCCACUAAUCUAGGUUUUGAAGUUGCGACAGUUUAGUUUUCUCCAUCUAUAAAUAGUGCCUCUCUUUGCUCCGAAAAUCAUCUCACACUCAUACUUCCUCUCCUCUUCUUCUCUUCCUCUCUUCCUCUUCACUUUUAUUCUUUCAUUUUACUUUAUGGUUUUUUGGGUUCUUACUCUUUUAAGAGUAGCUUACUAGUUCUGAUCUUCGGAAAUUUUCGAGAAGUUCCUGUUGUAUCCUAGGGGACUUGCGCAAUACACCGCAAAUAAGUUCUUACAGACAGUGAUCACUCAAGUCUUGAAAAAUCAACUUUGUUCGUGUUUUAAAGUCUCAUUUACUACAUUACCUAACUUUGCCUACAAUUUAACUUAAGUUAAUUUAUUUUUACCUUAUUAUUCUUGUGAUGGUCAGUUAAUACCGAAUAUCAAUAAGUCUUAAUGGUACACGAUUGAAUAUUUUAACUUUUUUAUAAAGUUAACAAGUUUUUGAUUGAGUCUCUAAAAUAUUUAGUAAUUUUCAUACUUUUAAAAUUUGAAAUAAUCUUUUGUAACUAGAAACAUGAAAUAAUUUUAAUUUUAUUCACGAAGUUGUUUUCUCUAGUUUCCAUACAUCCAAAAUUUAAAAUGGUUUUUUAAUCCUAUCAUUAAUUUACGUAAAAUUAACAAAUUGUAGUUUUGAUUUCUAAAUGUUUACUUAUUUUCCAUUUCUCUAAAAUUUGAAACUUUGAUUAUUAUUUUGUAUUUAGCCAAAGGGAGAAAAUUUUAUCUAUCCCUCUGGGUUUUAUAAUUUAGGUAAAGGUCUUCAUGAAAUUCAUAAGCAUCAAAGACACAUAGUAUGGAAGAAUGUGUUGCGUGAUGCUAAUCAAAUAAUGUUUUGGAGUUGCAGAAAGGUAAUCACGUCUUUGAGGUUGCGUCAAGAGUUGUCUCGUAUGCUUUACAAAUUUAUUUUGUUUCUAUUAUUUAUAAUUAAAAAAAUUGAACUUGUGUUGAUAAAAAUGCAAUUUUAUUAAUUUAAACAAAAAAAUAAAUAAAGCGUGUAGUGUAAUUGAUAUUUUUUUUAUCAAUAAUAAAAUAAAAAAAUAGGAACCACCACAGAAAUGGUCCAUUGCAACCCUUAUACAUAAAUACCUAAAUUUCUAAAACAACAUCUACCUACCUACCUACCGUGAGUUGAGUAAGUAUGAUAUCAUGAUCAAACCAAUCAUUGUAGAUUAAUUUGAAAACAUUAGCGCGUGAAAAAUACUAAAUUAGUCGUGUGAUUAUCACAUUAUUUUGUAUUUCAUAGUAAAUGAUCAGAAAAGUUUAAACAUACAAUAAAGAUCUAACAUCACUUUCUAUUAUAUGAAUCAUUCUUAAUAACAUGUGAGUUCAUGAUAUUUAAUCCAUGCAUAUAUAGAUCUAUGAAGUUAUCUUGUGAUUUUUUAAUAAAAAAUCAAAGUAGGAAUCACGUUGACUAAUAAAAGAUAUCAUCCCUCGUUUGUUUUUUUCUUCUAAAAAUCACUUUGUGAAAGUACUUAUGUGACAUAGAAAUCAAGUGAACUAUCAAAAAUGACUUUGAUAUACACAUUGGUUUAGGUAGGCUAUUUUGCAACAAUACAUUUGUUAUGUUUGUGAGGGAAUUUGCAGACAAAGUCCAACUCAUGAAGAACAAAAACCAAGAGCAAGGAAGCCACAAGUACUGGCACUGGACCCAGCAUCCACAGCAUCAAAGGAACAGCAACACAAAGCACCCUACUUCCCACAAGAGCUAAGGUGAAUCCUCUUUCUAAUAUGGUUUCUGUGUAACCCCCUGACAAGAACUCCCCAUAUGCAUUCAUCAGAAAAUUGGCAUCAAUCAGAAACCCUAUGGCCAUGGAACUGAAUAGGAAGCUCAUCACCAAACAAAGUGAUGUUGAUCCAUACUUCAAAACAAAGAUUUCAUCUGACUUGGAUCCAAAAAAUCCACUGCUAAAGAGAUGGCUAGCAUUGUAGGUGUUGUUGCUCAAAGCUGCCAAACCCAAGUUAAUGAGAAUGGUUAUAGAAGCUGUGAGUAUUGUGGACAUAAGAGUGUUCCUCAAGCUUUGCACUGUCAACAUAGCUUUGCCGGAAUCACCCUGCACAUACAUAUGCCAAUCAAAUCUUAGAAACAUCCAAAAGGGUGUGAGAAAUAUAUCAGUUACAUGGUAUGAGAAGAAUAUGCAAUCACCUGAUUCAAGUUAAGACUCCAAGUUGUUCUUUUGAGCUUGUCGAUUCCAUAAGUUGUGCGUGAAGGAUUGUUUUUGAUGGUGUGGCAAAGAUAGACAUGGUAAGUGACUGUAAUGAAAAGACUGAAAGGGAUGAAAAUGGUGUCCAAACAAAGAUCCACUCUCAUGUUUCUCUGGUUUGAUGAAGAAAGGAAGAAGGGGAUGGGAUUGUGGGGUGAGAGAUGAGAUGUGUUUUUAUAUAUUAGAAAAUGGCAUGGAAAAGUGAAUGAUGCAUGAAAUAUUGUUUUUAAUUGUUGUUAGUGCAUGCUACGGCUCUUAUACAAGUGGAAAUCAUAUAAUGGACACCAAACUCGAUGUGGGCUUUGAGUCAUACGUAACUCAUACAUAUAUGCGUCAAUACCUAAUAUGCCACCACAUCAAAUUCAAACCACCUAAUUACAUAUUCAUAUAAUGUGAUACAAAACUAUAAGUUAAAAGAUAUAUAAAUAAGAAUCACUUCUCUCCAAUUUCUAUAAAAAAAAAAAACUAUAACUAUCAUGCAACACAAAACCUUCUAAAUUAUUACAUGCCAAAUCCCACCAAACUAACACUAACACAAACAAAUUAGAUUGAGAAAUAACAAGUCUUUUAAAUUGAGAAAUAACAAGUCUUUUAUCUUGCAAACUAACUUUAUCAUCUGCAGUAUAUAGUUUUAUUUAACUAAAACGUCACUGUUUAUUUUUAGAAAAAAAACACGUGAUUUUUAUAAAUAUACUUUAGAUACAACAAAAGUUUGGUUUAGUUUAGAGUUUUGCAUCAGAUUUCAAAACAUGAUUCAAAAUUCAAUCUAAUUCAACAACUGUUUUUUAAGAAAAAUUAUCUGUUGUGAAUAUUUAUAUUUAAAAUACGAGCAGUCUUAGAUGUAAUUCUUAAAUUCAAAAUCUUUAAAUGAAAGCAUUUUUCUCAUUCUCCUUGAGCUGAAUGUUUUGUCUUAAUCCUAUACAUUGAGAUUUUUCUUUGUUUAUAUUUUUAUUUAUUUCAAAUAUAUAUAAUAAAUUUAACUUAAUUUCAUUCAAUGACUAAUCCAAAAGUUUUCUUUUUUGGCCAUAUAAAUUACUCUUGUAUUAUUAAUGAUCCAUUUAUUGGUUUUAUCAAUUUCUUAAUUACCUCUCACUCUACAUUUUCUGUCUACGUUUUUUAAUUUCAAUUUCAAAAAAAAAUUAUGAAAAAUAAUCUGGUAAUAUAAUAUGUUCCUAAUGUAUUUGGAUUAGGGAGUGAAUUAGAGAGGAUAGAAAAGUAAAGAGAGUGGAAAAUGUUGUUUGAAUAAAGAAAAAUAGAGUGAAAAAUAAAGAAAAUAUUAAAAAAAAGUUUGUGAAUAAUUAGAUUGAUAUAAUAAAUUUUAAAAAAAUAUAAAACAAAUUACCCUUGUUAUUAUAUAUUCAUUUAAUUACAAGAUUUAGUUUUAAUUUUAUUAUUAUUAUUAUUUAUAUUUAUUUUGAUUAUUAAUUUCAUUAAUAUAUGAAUUUAAUUUACUACUAUUACUAUUAUUUUUUAUUUUAUUUUUUAUCAUUAAUAUUAUUAUUAUUAUAUAAAUUUACUUUAUUAUUAUUUUAUUAUAUAAUUUAUUAUCUGUUAUAUAAUAUAAUAAUAAAUUAAGUUCACGUAUAUAAUGUGAAUAAUCGAUGUUAUUCAUUAUUAUCUUAUCUUCUUAUUAAGAUUGAAAUUAUAAAAUAUUAUAUUUUGGUUAAAUUUUUUAUUUUUCACUCAAAAUAAAGGAUGGUUUAAAUGUAAUUAUUUUGCAUUUCCGUCAUUUCAGUUCUAUUUAAAUUAUUUGAUAUAAAUCAGCUUACUCAAAUACAAUUUAAAAAGUUUCUUGUAUGUGAAGGAUAUAAAUUUAUUAAGAAGGAGAGAUUUUUCUCUUUUCUUAAUUUUGCAUUUUAAUUGUGUAUACGGACUGAAACACUAGUUUCUCCUCAUUUUUUAUAUAUUUUCUGUUACCAAUUAAAAAAGGAGAAGAGAUAUUUUUAGUAGAGAUUAAUAAUCCGAUUGAUAUUUUAUAAUAUUUUACAUAAUAAGUAUAAGAAAUUGUAUUAUAUAAGAGUGAAGAAAUUUUUGGUGAACAUUAAUCAUGUAAAAUUAAUUGACAUUAACUUAAAAAAUAUAAAAACUAUUACCAUCCAUUUUAUAAACGAGAGAUUAUUAGGAGUACUAAAUAAUAAUUUUCAUUUUAUUUACAUUAAUUCAAACUGAGAUUAUUAUUAUUAAUAUUAAUAUUAUAUAUAAAAAAAACAUUCUUUUCAAAGUAAAAAUGAAAAAGUUAUAGGACUAUAACUUUUAUUGUUAAAAAUAUUAAAUAAAAAUUAAUUUUAAAAACAAUAAAGAAUUAGUUGUUAUAUUGGUUAAAUUAGUUUGGAAACUUAAAAAAACUUAUUGAUAUAUAAAUUAAUUUUUAUUGUUAUAAAUAAUUUAUAAAUUAAUAUUAUUUAAUUAUUUUUUAGUAUUUUUAAAAGUUUGAGGUGAGAUAACGUGACUUCAUGAAAAUAUAAUAUUGUGAUUAAUAUCUAUUGUGUUUAUAUUAUGGUUUGUUAUAGUGCACGAUGGGAAUGCUAACACUUUUUUUGUUUUGUUUGAUGUGUUCUUAAAAGAUAAGUGAUUGGAAACCAACAAUUUCACAAUUCAAAAUAUACCAAAAUAAACCUAAGUUGAAGUUACUAAUUGAGAUUAAAUUUAAGUAAAGUAACCUAAUGUGGAGAAUUGCUUCCUCAUGUAGACAUGUCCACCACUUCUUCAGCUAUUACAUUCAACCUUGUCUUCUUAUAAAACACCUUUUUGCCUUUUUUUUCAUUGGAUUUUUCUAUUGCUUUGUUGUGUGCUCACAUCAUUUCAAAUAUCUUGUAAUUAAACUUCUUCAUGUUGCAUUUGCUCAAGUUAUAAUGUUUAUGACUUUAUCACUGCUCUAAAACAGGUUAUAGACAAUUCCAAAUGAACUUUGUGGAAGUAUCCAGAUAUUUUAUUUUAUGCCAUAUCUAUUUUCACGUGAAUUAUUGUAGUUAGCUACAAUUUUAUAUUGUGCUGAACCAAUAAACAGUUCUAAAAAGAUUAAAAAAUGAUGAUACAUAUAAAGUAGUUUUAGAAAAUUUAGAAUAAAAAGUUUAGAAAAUUUAGAAUAAAAAGUUUGGAAAAUUUAAACGGAAAAUUUAAAUUAAUUUUAACAAAAAAAGUUCGUUUUAUUUUUUUUCUUCUUGAAAGUAUUUACAUAAAUUUAUGGAAACAUAGCUUUGUACUAACAUAACAUAAAACAUUGAAAAGUCCACUAAUAUAAGUGUGCCCUAAUGGUCUGAGAUAUAACAAAUUGCUUCAUAUAGUUUACGUGGAAUGCAAUGCAUGUUAUAUAUUAUAUAAUGGUUUGUUAUAGUGCACGAUGGGAAAGCUAACAAUUUUUUGUUUUGUUUAAUGUGCUCUUAAAAGAUAAGUGAUUGGAAGCCAACAAUUUAACAAUUCAAAAUAUACCAAAAAAAGUAUAUGAUGAAGAUAACUCUCUUUAUAAGAAUCAACGGAGCAACAAUAAUAAAAAUUAUGCAAAAAUUAUGAAAAAAUGUAAAUAUUUGUAACGUGAAAAAAUCUUUUAUUAAAAACUCAUAAUUACAAGUCAAUCAAUCAUAUUCUGCUAAGAUCAAAUAAGCAUAGUGUUCAGCAGUGGUGUUGUUCAGUAGUUGCUGCAGAUGUCAAACAGAACAGGGUUUUAGUAUCUUUGUGUGUCGCUUGUGUGAAUACUGAUAAACACCUAGUAGGCUAUUUUUUAGAAUUGAAGAAGAAUUGUUCUGCAGUGACUUAGAUGCAAUUAUGGGAGGUAUGGUCAAUUACGUAGGCUCUUAUAUGAUGGAGGAAUGGGUCUUUAUGUUACCAUAAAUAUUACAUUCAGAGUCCAAUGCCGGUAGUUGGUACGGGUUGAUUUUGUAUACGAGUUGAGACACUUCUGAAGUGUUUCUGUUUUAAUUUAUUAAUUCUUUGCUGAUAAAAGAAAAGAAUUUUCCUUUACAAGGUAUUCACCAAUUUCACGAUCUUAUAACAAACUUCAAUUUAACGAUCUCUAAUAUAGACACUUCUUGUUAAUAUGUGUGUAGACUGUCUAUGCUGAUGGGUCGUCCAAUAAGACGGCAUGUGGAGUUGGCAUCGUCUUCGAAGGUCCGAACGACCUCAUUCUCGACUCGGCAUUAAAGUUCGAGUUCAAGGCCAUCAACAACCAAGCCGAGUACGAGGUUAUCCUCACUGGUCUAAACUUGGCGUACGACAUGGGACAUGGGAGCUCGUGAAGUAACGUGUAAAAGCGACUCCCAAUUGGUGGUCACCCCGAUCAAGGAAAAGUUUGAAGUGAAGGAACCUUUGUUGCAAAGGUACUACCAUACAGUUUCCAACCUCAUCGCUUAAUUUGAAAGAGUGACGGUGUAGCACAUCCGUAGAGAAGACAACAUGAGGGCCAACGCAUUGUCUCAGCUGGCCUCGACUAAGAAGAAAAACCACUUGUGAGGUUUUGCAGCGGACAAAAGGAAAGGUGUUUGAUGAAGGUUUAAGUGAAUUCAAUCUGUGGAAAAGUGUUUCUAAACAGUGGAAACAGAAUGUAAUCAGUGAAAAGAGAUUAUAAACAGUGGAAAAACAAAAAUUAUAGAAGAAAAAGCAAGAACAAGGUUGAACAACAGAUCAAAAACUGUAAAUUUUGACCUAGCUGGGUGAAGCUUGGCAAUGGGAUCUUGGUGUACUCUGAUCCACCUAAUGCAAUCUAAGUUUGAGAUUGGAUGAAGACACGGAGUGAUAGCGAAAGUGAUUGGAGAUAUGCACCGAAAAUGAGAGGAAAAGGUGACGUUUGGAGCGAGUUUGAGGUGCUAUAAAGAAGAAAGAGGUGUGACCAACUUUCUUAGGGUUUAACUAGGCCAAUAAGGCUCUCUAGCAAGGGAGAUUUGAGAGAGAAUGAGUUUCAAAUUUUGAAUACUUCAUUCGAUAAUGCCAAAUUUGAAUAGAUAAGGUUUGUUUGAGGUAUUUAUAGAUGAAAAGAGUGAGGGUAGCUUGUUACUUAAGCUACCAUAACCCUAGUUAAGCAAGCUUAACUGUAGUGAGGUUUGGUGACUUAAGGAGGGUUGUGUAUGUCCUCUUGAGAUGCUCUCAAGAUCCUUACUUGUGUGACAAGUUAAUGAGUUUCAAAUUUUGAAUACUUCAUUCAAUAAUGCCAAAUUUGAAUAGAUAAGGUUUGUUUGAGGUAUUUAUAGAUGAAAAGAGUGAGGGUAGCUUGCUACCAUAACCCUAGUUAAGCAAGCUUAACUGUAGUGAGGUUUGGUGACAUAAGGAGGGUUGUGUAUGUCCUCUUGAGAUGCUCUCAAGACCCUUACUUGUGUGACAAGUUAGGGUUUUUAGAGUGUCUUUGAUUCAUCUACAAAGUACUCUUAAAAGGAAAUCAAAAUACAAAUCUUAAACAUGAGUGUUCUACUAUUUACAUUUUAUGCAUGACUAGAAAUCAUAAUAGAGCACAUGAGAAGAGUCUUUUGACUAGUGUCUCCUAUAUCUAUUAUUCUAGUCAUGGCACGAGUCAGAUGUCCUAUAUGAGUGGUGUUGGAUGGUCCUCCAUCACCUAAUCUCAUGGGAGAUUUGCUAAUAAUGUCAUUCAAUGAUAAUCUUUCUUGUGAGACAUGUGUAAAGGAGAAACAAGUCAAGAGCUCAUUAAAGAGCAAAAAUGACAAAUUCACUCUAAAACCUCUUGAGUUGAUACACUUGGACCUUUUAGGACAAAAUAUAUGGUCUAGUCAUUGUUGAUGACUUCACUAGAUGAUUAUUGAUGGUUUCUUUCUAGACAAGUGGAUCAAGUCAACUGUAAUAUAGAUCAUAAAAGGGGUAGUCGUAUCCUCGGGAACUAGAUGUAAUCACAUCACAUGCACUUUCAUUAUAAAGUAUGAUCAUAUUCAUUGAAGUCUUAUAAAUAAUUGUAAGCUAAAGAGAUUACAAGUUAUAUUAAGUUGAAACUAGGUGCAAAAGAAGGAAGAUUUCAUAUCUGAUAACAUGUUGAGAUUGAAUAAACUUUGUAACUCUUCUGCACUUAAAUGAUUAUAAAUGCAAUGUAGUUCAAAUUCACUACUCUGCAAGACCAAACCAAAUUCACUACUCUGCAAGACCAAACCAAGUUAAUCCCUUAAUCAUGGUUAUCUAAAAAGCAAACUACCAAAAUCAAUUACUUGACUUACAAUAAUUUGAAUAUGAAUUUCAUACAUGAAUCUGAAAAAUGCAUGUGACCGGUUCUCCGCUGGUAUGAAUUCUCCAAAAUUUCAAGUAUAUGAAAGGCAUUGAAGUUCAAUAACCUCUUUUUUUUGUCACUAUCUGCCUCCAUCGGAGAAGUGUGAAGGCUCUCUUCCUAGUCAUUUGCCUUUCAGGGUGAAUCCGAGUAGCAUUUUUUUAUUUGUGGGUAUUUUUCAUUCUUAUUUGCAACCUAAUUGACUUCUACAUACUUCUCACAAAAAUGCUAUAAAAGCAAUCCAGAGGAAAUUCAUGGGUUAAACGAAAUGUUUUUAUGUUUUUAUCAGUACAAAGAAACAUGGAUGGAUUGAUGGAUAUCUUAACUCAAAUACAGAACCUACAUCCUCAUUAACCUCUAGCCUCUACAAAAAUCUUCAGAUGUCACCAAGGAAAUCGAUUUAAGGUUAUUAAAAGAAGCAUGAUAUUAUGUCCGACAAAAGCAAAAAUGGAUAUAGGCUACAUGUUUCAACAUUUUAAUGUAACCAUACAUCAUAAAUGAGUGGUGUUUAAUAUCCAAAAUCAGAAGUAUCACAGUAUCAGAGUAUCACAUGAAAGAAUAAACAAGUACGUAUCAAUAGUUACUCUUACUUACAUUGUCAUUUACCUCAAUGACGCACGCACCACUUAGAUUGUGAGUGAAUCACUAUAAACCAUUCACGUUGACACUGUUGUUGGGAAAUCUUAGAGGAAGAAACAUCGGAGAGAUAUUAAUCAAUCGGUCACAUAUUAACACACCAGGAACAUAACAUCAUAUCUUAUCCUCUAUCCAUUUAUAACACUAAAUAGAAAGAAUUUUCUCAAGUAUAAUUAAAAUGUAAUUGAUAACAAUUGAAAAGCUUAGCAUAUAUAAUUAAUAAAUGCACUAAUUGCAGAGAAGACAACAAUAUUUUGGACUUACCAACAGAUUUCUUUACAAUUUUGUUGCUGUGAGAUACACUAAUCAAUGGUGCGGAGCAGUUUCGAGUUUCAGCAAAUAUUAAACGUGUUUGGAAAAGGGAUAGUAAAAGUAGAACGAAGGAGAAAGGUAGCUAAUUUGCAUAUUAAUUAAUAAAAUUAACUUAUACAAAGUCAAUAACAGCAAGUGCAAAAUAGACAGUACAGUUGUUUGUGAUUAUAUAACGAACUGAUAAUUGUUAGCUCUGGCUCUUAGGUCAUUCGACAUUAUCUAUUAGUUUAUAAUAUAAGUCAUACUCUCCAUCAAGCAAUUGUAGUUUUACAUGAAAGUAAGACAAAUACUUCAUAAACAAAAUAUUGUAGUGUGCAGGGAUCCACACAAAACAUGUCACAACAAAUUCAAUGUACUCUUUACCAGCAAACAUGUCCAUGCAGAAGAAUCUUCCUCUAAUAAUAAGACAUCAUUCUCAAGUACUAGAAAUAUGCAACAGUAGUGUGAAAAAUCCACCAACCCAGUCAAAUCAACCAACUCAGAUAUCUCAGUACCAAAGUUCUUAUCAAAUCAAUCCCUGGUGAACAUCUUUUAUGGCCAGAUUUCUCAAAGUCAAUUUCAAACUAACCCACGGUUAAAAAAAAAUCAAUAAUCUAAUCCAAAUUAAAAUUUGCAAUAACAAUGAUAUCAGUGAUGAUGAUAAACAAUCACAUGCUCAUUAAUUACUUCUAUAAAACUAAUGAACCAAAAGGUUACAAGUUACAACCCACAAAUUAAACAAUUGCUUUAUUCACUUCUAAAAAAACUCUUUGCAACAUUUUAUUUGAACUUUUUUGCUAAUUCAAAUCGCAAGUAACUAAAAUCAAAUUUGAAGACGACAGUUCUAUUUCUGUUAUAGAAAUAAACAAGUAAAAGUUUUCAACAAUUUGAAAACUUUAUUCAUUAGGAGGUAGAACAUAUUCCUACUAGAAAGAGAUAAUAUACAAUCAGUGGAAGAUAGAUCAUAUUGGCUUAUCUAUAAUUAAUUUCAUGGUAAACAUCUAACUUCCGAGAAUUUCUUUCCUUUACAUUCUGUUGAAAGUAUCAGGCAAGAAUGACAAUUCAUUCAACAGUGUUUCUGAAGUAUUCCACCCACCGUAAUCAAUGUCUAACUAGUUGUAUACAAAAGGUUUCGCCAAAAUAGAGAAGCCUGAAAUACCAAGAGCAAAAUGUGAGACAUAAAAAGGUCCUACAAAAAAUGUAAACCUUACAAAUGAAAAACAACACUAAUUGUUAGAGAAAAUACAAGUAAAAAUUCUAAAUUCUUAAAAGAUUAAUGUUAAAAGGUUAUGUUUUCCUCCUUAAUGAUCUUUACUAGUAAAAAACUAAAAACACUUGAAAAUCUUAUAUCUUUGUCUCAUCAUGUGACAGUCUUACCCAAAAAUUAAAGCAAACUUGUAGUUAAAAGCAUAAAUGAGCUAAGCUUGGUCAAGCUUGCACCACAAAUGCAGUAUUAAUAUGGUGGUCUAUUUCUCAUGGGAUCAAUAGAUUUGAAAAACAAAAGAAACUUGAAAUAGCUUGGAUUUACCAUGAAGAAGAUCCCGUGUCAUUUUCCAUGUAGUCAUAAAACAGGAUGCGGCCAUAAGGGGACAAAGAGUAGCCUUCCUGUGCUUAAUGCUGCCAACUCGAGUUCAGUUUCAAAUUCUUUAUAGUGAGAAUAGAUCCUCUUCAUAGGCACUGACUUGCAAUUCCUGAGAAAACAUUUAUACACUGUAGACGCACCAUAUAUACUUCUCACUCAUGUUUUCUGUCAUCCUCAUGAUAUCUUCGUACACAUGAGAUGUCAUAUUCAUAUGAAGAAUCGCUAGUUUUGGAUAUCAGUAAUUAACUGUCAAUUCCAUAGUUCAUGAAGUCAGUAACUUGUCAAAUUAUGUUUCAAUAUGUAGGGUGGGACAUAAUACUGUCAGAAUAUAAACCUUAACAAAAUCCUAUACAAUUAAAAGUUGGCAUGUAAACUUUAAUGCAUAAAAUUACACAAUCCAAUCAACUUCUGAUUUUUUAACUUAGGAUUGAAGAAGUAAUAUAAACUACAUGACUAAAUAGCACAUGUGUGCAGCAAUGAUCUAAAAUAUAAGACUCCCAAGUUAGAAGCAAAACUGAAAUCUGCAUAAUCAUUAAACAACUAGAAAUAUAGAUUGAGAACUGUACCUAACUUCUUUCUCUACACAAGCAAUCACCAUGACAAGUUAUUACAGUCAAAUUCUCCUCCCAAUCACCAAGCAUGCCAUUAGAUCCAAACUGAAAUUGCAUCUAAAAGAAUGGCUUUACAUAAUCUACCACAAUCCCAUUUGAAAACUAGCACUUCGAAGUUCAAUCAUGGGUGAAGCACUGGCCAACUAUACCUUCAAAUGAACUUUUAAUUUCAUUCUCAAGUACUAGAAAUAUGCAACAGUUGCAGUAUGAAAAAUCAUUCUCCAAACCAAGUAUUAGAGCUUUAUUCAUUUUUAAAAAACUCUUGCAAAAUUUUAAAAUAUAUAACGAGAGUGGUGGGAUAAAUUCAUUACAUUAACCAAAGCCUGAACAAUUGAAGAAAGACAGUCCUAUUUCUGUUAUCGAAAGAUAAAAAGAAAUAAACUUUUAAUGAAACAAUUUGAAAACUUUAUUCAUGUACAACAUAUUCUUACAAAGAACUAAUGUACAGACAGUGAAAGAUCGACUUAUUGGCCUUAUCUAAUGAUCAAAAGCUAUUAAACUAUAUUGGCCUUAUCUAAUUACCAAAAGCUAAUAAACUAAAGAAUAGUGUUAUCCACAGCACAGCAGGUCCCCUUUGUGUCAGAUUGCAGCAUCAAAAAAUUCCUCUAUGCGUUACCCUCGGAAUGAGUUGAAGGUGGUUGAUAAUCAGAAAAAAGAUCAUCCAAAAAUUUCUUGUCUUCAAAUGAGAAGUUUGUCCAAUAAUCCACAUCAAAAUCAAUGCUUGAUAAAUUCAUGUCUGACUGGUGGUUCUGUGUUUCCUUGUGAAGGGUGGAAACCUCAUUUGGUAUUGAAUUUUCCAAACUUUGAGGUAUAGGAGAGGCAAUGUAUUGUUUGUUAGUAUCUGAAUUGAUAGGAGAAAUGUGAAGGCUGUCUUUAUAAGUAAUUUCCUUUUCAGGAUCAACCAUAACUUUGCUGUUUUGACAAUGAGAAACAACAUCCUCAUUACAUGUUGUAACAGCAGGCUGAAAAAAUUGUUUGGUUGUCUGUGUUUCAAGAAUUGAUGAGUUGGUGGAUUGUGGUUGAGUCCUUGACAAUGGGAGCGUGUUUAGAGCUGAGGGUGACGAUAAAGUAAGUGUAAAAAUUAAAUUGAUAACAUGACAAAAACAUGUAUACUCAACAGAAACAAUUAUAAUUAUACCUCGAAAUUGAUUUUUCUUCCCAGGUGGUCUGCCACGAGGUCGUUUUGCAAUUGUAGGCUCAGCUUCACUAUUUUUUCUCUUGGUAGACUGCUGCGACAGUACAUUGCAUGUGUUCUGUACAUGGGCGGUGGUAGCAGUACACACACCUAACAAAAAAGAAAACCACAAUUACUCACAAAUAAGAGUUAAAAACAAUAAACACCAUUCCAGAAUUUUGAAUUGACGAUUAAACAGGGAAAGAAGUUUUUACCAGAAGAGACAUUCAUUGGGAUUGGGCUAAGAAAGACAUUGUAAGUAUUGACAGCAUUGUGCAUGUCAUCCAACAACUUCUGAACUCUAUAUUUUUCUUGAGUGAUCGCACACAUUUCCUGAUCCAAGAUUAUCUUUUGUCUUCUCAAACAUAUAUAAUCAGCGAGAAUUUUGUCCAAAUUAUAAUCAGCGGAAGUGUUGGAUAGCUAGAAAACAGAAAUGAAAGAAUUAAAGAAGUGUGCACAGUGAGAAGGAGAAAAAGAGUUGUGGAUCGUUAAGGGAUGAAGUGAAACCUGAAUGAGUGGCGAAGCGGCGAAGAGGGAGGAGGCCUCCAUGCGGAAGGUGGCUCGUGUUUGGAAUAAGUUGUUGGCGCAGAGGUAGUCAUCUACUAUCAAUGCAACUUCAAAAGGGGAAAUAUUAAUCUUUUCCAUGGAUUCUCCCACUUUCACUGUUUCUUGCAUUACAAUCUUGUUCUUCUUCUCAGAGUCACCAAAAUAAUAACAAACUAAUAUUUUUUUAAUUUUGAUAUAAAAAUUAUAUACACAUAUGCACAACUUUAACUUUAAUUAAAUAACACUUUAUCUGCUGUUUGAAACUCUUUGGAGAAGAAGAUCAUUUGCCCAGGAAUUCUAGCUUAGCGCUCUCUGAAGGCUCGGCGAGCGCUAUCUGAAGGCUCGCACUCCUAUUUAUAGAUACUGAAAUUUUUUUAUUUUUUUAUUUUUUGAAUUUCCUUUUCACUUUUUAACAUUUUUUCCUUUUUUAACAUUUUGAUGUUAGAAACAUAUUGAAAUACAUUUUAUACAAACUUAUAAAAACCAGACCGUAUUAUAUUUAAUAUAAUAUAUUACUUUUUAAUAUUAUAAUAUUAAGGAUUUUACUAUAAUAAAAUAAUUAAUUAAAAAAUAUUAAAAUAUUAAAAAAAAUUAUUAAUUUAAGUUUGAUAUUUACACAAUAGUUUUAAAAACUGUUAAAAUAUUAUAAUCCAUUUUUCUAAUUAUUAUCUAUUUUUCUCCGCAAGUAAAAAGGGAUUUAAAGGAAAAUUGCAGUAUAAUUGAUUAUGAUUUUUUAACUGAUAUCUUAAUAUAAUAUAUUAUUUUUAAUGUCAUAAUAUUUAUAAUUUUAUUAAAAAAAUAAUUAAAAUAAAAAUCUUAAAAUAUUAAAUUAAAUAAAUAUUAUUAAUUUAAAUUUGGAUAUUUUAUACAUUAGUUUAUUUUAAUGUAUUUUUACUAAGAUGUAUAAUUUUUGUAUUUAUUAAAAUUUUAGAAUAAUAUUUUAUUCUGAUUUUAAUUCAUGUUUUUAAUAUUAAUUUAUAAAAAAUAUAAUUAUUUUUAUUUUUAUUUUUAUUUAUAUUUUCAAUAUUAAUUUUUUAUAUUAAAUUAUUUUUUAAAGAGAAUUUGUUGGCGUAGGAGUAUUGAUCCACUGUGUGAAUGCAACUUAAAACCUAUAAAAUUCUAAUUUUUGACUAUAAAUGAUAUUGUUAAUAUUAAAUUGAAUUUUUAUCUGGUUAAAUUUAUUUUGGGUUAUGGUAAUGUUACGUUGUUGUUUUUGGGUUGCAAGUAGUCAUUUUGAAUAUACUAGAUAUAUACGGGUUGUAAAUUGAUAUUGUAGUGUUAAAUUAUGUUUUAAACUGUUAAAAAUUAUUGAAUUGAUAGAAUAUAUUUUGGAUGAAUUUUGAAAGGGUUUUGAGGUACUAUAUUAUUUGAUUUUUUCUGAUAUUUUUUGUUCAAGUAAAAGUGUGAGUGAGAAAUUUUCGCUCGAGUAAGAUGUUUCUCGUUCAAUUAAAAAAUCAAGAUAAAACAUCUGUCUUUUCUAGAAAGAAUUUUAGCUCAAAUGAGAAUCUUGACGCUCAAACGAAAUCAAAGUUAGCUGGGAGAAAGUUCGGUUAGCUAAGAAAGAGUCACAUGAUGUAGAAUAUUUAUUUAUUGUACAAUUGAUGUAUUUUGGAGUUGAGUAGUAUUCAGUAUAUGUGUAUAUAGUAGAUAAGAAGAUUUAAAUAAGAUAUGUGAUGAAUGAUGUGCAACAUGUUUUAUAAACUCUAAAUAUCACUUGGUGUGUGGUUGAUGAUAUGUUGUGUAUGUUUAGAUAUACAUGAUAUUAACGCAAUCUCUUGUAAUUGUUAGUAGUUAUUAAAUAUAGCUAUUAAGAUGUGGUAUAAAUAUUAAAUUACGAGAUUGAUUAAAAUAUUUAUAUUCUAAUAAUAUUGAUUUGGUGAAGAGUUGAUGGAAGAUUUCAUACACUAAAUUAAGAGUUGAAGACCUAAAUGCUCAAUUGGAAGUGUAAAAAUUACCACCUCACUAUAUCACUUGGAAUUGUCAAAAAUAUAUCUACUAAGAGAAUAAAUUAUUGAAUUUUCUUAAAGUAUUUAUCUCUAUAUUUUAAUUUAAUAUUAGUUUUUCAAAAAAUUGUUAAUCUUUCAUUUAGACUUAGAUUAAUAAUAAUUGAUAUUAUUGAUAUAUUUAAUAAUAUUAUAUGUUUAAUAAAAAAACUACCACAUAUUUUAUUUUAUAUUGUUGUGACGUUGUUAUAGUUAUGAUUUUUUAUACCAAAUACGUAUGUAGUAAGUAAGAAAGAAAACAUUAAGCACAGUAGGAUUUAUUUAUAUGAAUAGAGUUUUAAUAAUUGUUAUAUUUCGAAGAAUAUUUGUAAUAACUUAAGUUUUACAUUAUGUUUAUAUUUGAUAGAAGUAGGUUACACUAUCGAUAUAACAAUAUUUUUUUUUUUAAAUAAAAGCUUCCAUGUUAGGUAUCACUAUGCAACUUAAGAUCUCAGCUAGGCUGACACUUCAAGUUACAACAAUCAUUUACCAUCACAUGAAAAAAAUAUUAUUGAACAAAAGAAAAAUAAAAAAAAUAAAAAAAAUACAAAAAUACGGGGGGACUAUACCAAAACCCAUAUGUUAACAAAAACGAUACAUAGGUAGACUAUACCUAUUCAUAAAGAAUUCUAAGAAUAGACAAGGUGGAAGCCUAUUAUACCAAAGAAAAGGCUCUCUAUGAAAAAAAUCCUAAAUUAGCCAACUUAUCAGCACACGCAUUUCCUUCACGAAAAAUAUGAGUAACCGUAAACCUAAUUUUCCCAUAGUAAGUAAGACAAGCAUUCCAUCGAUUACGAAGCAUCCAAGGAACAGUUGUCCUAGCAGUAAACGCAGCACAAACCAAAGCAGAAUCACAUUCCAACCAGACAUUAGUAAGCCCCAUCUUUUGAGUUUCCUCCAUAGCAUGUAUAACCCCAUAAAACUCAGCAACCAGAGCAGUCUGAACUUCAAGAAAUGCAGAAAAAGCUCCAAUAAAUUCCCCCAUACUCCCACGAAAAAUACCUCCGCAAGUAGCAAGAUCAGGAUACCCUCUAGCAGCCCCAUCAGUGUUAAUUUUUACCCAGCCUGGUGAAGGAAACUCCCAUCUAACAGGAAGAGGACGUAAAACUUUACCAGUACGAGUGUUAAUACCAAAAAACUUGAGCACAUUGAAAUCGAACAUAUCANNNNNNNNNNNNNNNNNNNNNNNNNNNNNNNNNNNNNNNNNNNNNNNNNNNNNNNNNNNNNNNNNNNNNNNNNNNNNNNNNNNNNNNNNNNNNNNNNNNNAAACGAGCAUAAUUCGUCAUACGCCAUAUCAUCCAAAUAGAAAAAGUUAUCACAGCUAGCUUAAUCAAUUUAACCAACGAACUACCAUCACUCUUAAUAAAAGAAAGAAAAUCAUCCUUAUUAGAGAAAUGAUAAGUAGGAAAAAUGUGUUGAACCCAACUCCAAAUACGCAAAGCAUUAGCACAUUCAAAAAAUAAAUGUUGAAUAGAUUCCUCGUGUUUUUCACAAAGCGUACACAUAGAACAAAUAUGCAAACCUUUAUUUUGAAUAUGUUGAUCUGUAGGAAGCCGCCCAUGAAAAACUUUCCAAAGGACAAGAGUUUUGGAAGGCGAAAUAUAUGAAGACCAAAUAAAUUUACCCCAACCACAGGAAACCCCUGGAUCCAAGAAAAAAGUCCUAGCUGAUUUAAGAGUGAGACGACCAGACUCAUCUAGAAUCCAAUUAGGAAUAUCCUGUACUGUCCUAACCCUGAUAUGACGAAAAAGAUGAGGCAUAUGCUGUAAAGACAAUGGAAUAUUCCAAUCAGCACCUGUCCAAAACUGAGAGACUGUAUCCGAACUACUAGCACCAUCAGAUAAUCCUGCAAUAUUUGCUAAAGAAAUAGUAGCACACCAUUUAUCAUUCCAAAAAUUAAUAAGAGAACCUGUACCAACAGUCCAAGAAGUAUAAUCAAGUAUAGUAGAAUAAAACUGCUUAAUUCCUGGCCAAAGAGAUGACGAUCUAUAAACCAUUCGAAACUCGUAUUUUGAUUUAAGGACCCUGGCUUUCAAGAGCAAAGACCAAGGCUUGUUGCUAUAAGCAAAGUUCCAAGCAAGCUUAAGAAGAUAUGCAUUAUUUUCAUGGUGAAGGUUAAUAAUUUUCAAACCUCCAUUCUCAAGGGGAGAACAAAUCGUAUCCCAAUUAACAGUAGCUAUACCUUUUUUCAAAAUAUCACCAGUCCAAAUAAAAUUUCGACACCACUGCUCAACUUGCUUAAGAAGAGAAACAGGCCAUUUAUACANNNNNNNNNNNNNNNNNNNNNNNNNNNNNNNNNNNNNNNNNNNNNNNNNNNNNNNNNNNNNNNNNNNNNNNNNNNNNNNNNNNNNNNNNNNNNNNNNNNNCUAGAAGACCCGUAAUCACCGUAUUGACCAACUGAACACGACCCAUCAUGUUAAGAGAUUUACCUUUCCAAGAAGCUAACUUCAAUUUGACUUUAUCAGCCAAAGGUUGAAGAAAACGACCCCUUGGAGCACCAACAAAGAUAGGCACUCCUAAAUAAGUGAAAGGCAAACAACCAGGACUACAUGAAAGAAUACGCUGAAUUUUGGUGAUAAACCUUGUAGAAUUAUCCAUGGUGAAAAAACUACUCUUAGAAUUAUUAACAUAUUGGCUAGAGAAAUCACCAUAUGUUUUAAGAAAAUUACUCAAAUUUCUAAGAGACUUAUUAUCCGCCCUACAAAAAAUGAAAAUGUCAUCCGCAUAUAAAAUAUGAGAGGGAGUGAGAAAACCUUGUGGACUAGCCAUAUGUAGAAUCUUCUUAUCAUUCACAAGCUUUGAGAGACCUCUACUAAGAACUUCCUCUGCAAGACAAAAAAGUAUAGGAGACAAAGGAUCACCUUGUCUAACACCUCUACUACAAGGAAAAAAACCCACCAAACUACCAUUUAUUCUGAUAGAAAGCAUAGCUGAACGGAGAAUAGUACUAAUCCAACCGACAAACGAGGAGUGAAAACCAAAGCGUGACAAAACUAAUAGUAAAAACUUCCAACUUAGAGUGUCAAAGGCUUUGUGAAUAUCAACUUUGUAAGCCACAUUGCCUCCGUGAACCUUUUUAGAAAGCAAGUUAAUAGCUUCAGAGGCAAUACUAAUACAAUCUUGAAUCUGUCUGCCCUGCACAAACCCAUACUGAUUAGGAGAAAUAAUUCCGGCAGCCACAAGAGCAAGCCGAUCUGCCAAAAUCUUGGAAAUAAUCUUAAAUUUAAAAUUAGCAACAGCAAUCGGCCUGAAAUCUUUAAUAGAUUCAGCACCCCGAAUCUUUAAGAGAUACCACAUUACUGUUCAUUUCAGGGAGAACCCAGUUUUGUUUAAANNNNNNNNNNNNNNNNNNNNNNNNNNNNNNNNNNNNNNNNNNNNNNNNNNNNNNNNNNNNNNNNNNNNNNNNNNNNNNNNNNNNNNNNNNNNNNNNNNNNNNNNNNNNNNNNNNNNNNNNNNNNNNNNNNNNNNNNNNNNNNNNNNNNNNNNNNNNNNNNNNNNNNNNNNNNNNNNNNNNNNNNNNNNNNNNNNNNNNNNNNNNNNNNNNNNNNNNNNNNNNNNNNNNNNNNNNNNNNNNAGACUCAGCAUAAAGAGUUUUAUAAAAAUCCAAAAUAUGUUCCUCAAUGAGUGUAGGAUCCUCAGUAACAACAUUAUCAAUUCGUAGACGAUGAAUUCCACUAUAAUUAUUCCUCCUCUUGACCACAGCAUGGAAAAAAGCAGUAUUUCUAUCCCCAUCUUUAAACCAAAGCAUUUUAGCCCUUUCUUUCCAAAACAAAUAUUGACAGUGAAGAGCAUGAUCAAGCUCCUCCUUAGCGAUCCUUUCUUGAUAGAGAAGCCCAUCAAUAUCAGACAUACUAGCAGUCUCUAAGGUUUGUUGAAUACCAAGGAGAAGACCCUGUUUAAGAAGAACUGCAUUGUGAACAUUGCCAAAAGAAUUUUUAUUCCAGUCACGUAGCUCAACUUUCAACCUUUUUAACUUAUGAUGUAAAAUAAACAUAGGACAACCAACAACCUUAUUAGCCCAAGAAUCAUGAAUAAGCUUCAUACAUGAAGCGUCUUGAAGCCACAUAGAAAAGAAACGAAAAUUGCUAACCUUCCUCAAAGAAUUACUAGCAAGACUAGUAAGAAUAGGGGAAUGAUCUGAACAAUUUUUAACAAGAACCUGAUAAGUACAAGAAUCCCAUUCAUCCAAACACACUCCGUUACAUAACGCCCUAUCCAAUCUUCUAUGAAUUCUAUGGAGCCCUCUCCUUCCAUUACACCAAGUAUAGCAAGUUCUAGUAAAAGGCAUACAAGAAAGGUCAUUAGUAUUAAUCCAAUCAAGGAAUUCAUUACAAGAAACUUGAUUAGGAGUCACCCCUCCUUUACAGUCAUCCGUCGAGAGCACAGCAUUAAAAUCACCCAUAAUACACCAAGGCCCUAUGAAGGAACUAAGAUCCCUCCACAAAACCCGUCUAGCCACGUAUGUGGUAGCACCAUAAACACCUGCAAAACUAAAACAUUUAUCAUGCAAAUGACAAGUUACAGAAAUAAAUUGUUCAUUUACCAAGAAAUUCCGGACCAAAUUAGGAACCGACAAGCACCAAAGCUUAGCGGCUUUAUUAACAAUAGGAGACGUAGCCACCAAAUGCAUAUUAACAGAUUUGAAAAUAACUUCAAAAGCAUUAGUGUACGACACCAUAGGUUCAGCAAGAAAAACCAAAAGAGGUUUAUGUAGUUUGAGUAAACUAAUCAACAUCUCCACAGUUUUGUGGUUUCCCAAUCCUCUAACAUUCCAGAAAAAUGAAGAGACUUUCAUUGCGACGUUGUGGAGAGAACUGCCUUAGCAGUUUUUUUGGAUUUACCAUUCUUCUUAGGUGGUCUCCCUGGUUUUCUUUUAGUGCAAACUAUUUCCUCUCCAGUAUCACUGUCAUCCUCCUCCAUCUCGUUGGGAUCAGCCCAAAAUUUUGAAAGAACAUUUGUAUUUUCCAAACCAUCAAGAGAGGAAAAGUGAUUUUGCAUGUCCAACGAUAGUGCUUUAACAUCCGCAGAAGAUUUAGCCUUCUGAGGUUCAACAAUGGCAGUAGACGUACCAAUAUAAGGAUCACCUCCCACAUCUGUAGUGUCUAAACCAUCAAGAGAGGAGAAGUGAUUUUUUAGCACCAACGACGGGGAUGGUACAGUCACAAUAGCAGAGACCUCCUCAUGAUGACCACAAUAUAUAACAAUAUAUUUAUCAUCAUAAUAAUAGUAAUAAUAAUAAUUACAUUAGAUAAUGAAAAUAAUUAUAUAAUAUGAUUAUAUUGAUAAUAAUAAUCCAUCAAUGAUAUAAUAAGUGGAAUAUUUUAGAAUAUGAUGGUUGAAAUCUUUUAAAAAUGUAAGUUUUGGUAGGUGAAUAUUUAAAAUAAUGUACUUUUAUACAAUAUUCUGGUUUAAAGUCUGAAGUGUUUUAAUCUAAGUGUUGAUUAAGUUGUCUUAAUUUUUUGUGUCAAAUUUUAUAAGAAUGAACAAUAAAAUAAUAAUAAUAGUAAUAAUUCAUAUUAGGUUAGUUUUGGUGAAUGUUAAGGAUAAUAUAAAUUUUGAUAAACAUUAUAUUAUAUAAGUUAAAGAAACUUUCAAUUUUCGGGUAACUUUUAAAAAUAAAUUUUUAAUUAAUAUAAUAAUGGGUAUGCAUUAUAUAUGGAUUAGUGUAUGAUAUAAUACUUUAUUUAUAAAAAUUGUUUUUAUUAUUAAUUUAUCUUUCCUUCGAACAAUAAAACAAUAGUUUUUAACACAAAUAAUAUUUUUUUUAAAACAAGGAUAGUAUAGAUUAAAAUAUCUGUUGAUCUAAAAUCAAGAAUUAAUAAAAAAUAAAAUAAUACAUUUUUGUUAUCAUUUAAUCAUCAAUCAUUACUAUAUUUUAUUCUUUAUAACAUAUUCUUUUAUUUCAGAGAAGUAAAAUCUUCCACUUAAUGAUUUUUAUCUCUUCUCUUAUUAAAUAACAUAAUAUAUAUAUAUAUAUAUGAAAACAAUCAUACGUUAUUAAUAUGCUAGUUGUACUAAACUGUUAAUUUAUAGCAAAAAAUAAUUAAUGAUCUCUUCUAAUUAUGUAUCAUAUUAAGGGCAACGUGUUUAGGUCAAAAUGUAAAUUAAUGAACAUAAUGUAACUAAGCAAGUACUACCAUAAAAAAG
rnacentral:lncRNA from 1 species